rnacentral:rRNA from 1 species
AGAGGAGCCAAGCGUUGUCCGGAUUGACUGGGCGUAAAGCGCACGCAGGCGGCGGCGCGCGUGGGGUGUGAAAUCUGGCCGCUUAACGGCCAGGCGCCAUCCCAUACGGCGCAGCUGGAGGGAUGCAGAGGUCGAUGGAAUUGCCGGUGUAGUGGUGAAAUGCGUAGAGAUCGGCAGGAACACCCAGGGGGAAACCAGUCGACUGGGCAUCACCUGACGCUGAGGUGCGAGAGCGUGGGGAGCGAACCGGAUUAGAUACCCGGGUAGUCCACGCCGUAAACGAUGGCCACUCGGCCUUUGGCGGCGGAAUCUCCGUCGGUGGGGGCCUUAGCUAACGCGGGAAGUGGCCCGCCUGGGAACUACGAGCGCAAGCUUA